CGUGUAGGCGGGUUGGCAAGUCAGAUGUGAAACCCCACGGCUUAACUGUGGGACUGCAUCUGAAACUGCUGAUCUUGAGUGCUGGAGAGGAAAGCGGAAUUCCCAGUGUAGCGGUGAAAUGCGUAGAGAUUGGGAGGAACACCAGUGGCGAAGGCGGCUUUCUGGACAGUAACUGACGCUGAGGCGCGAAAGCGUGGGGAGCAAACAG
rnacentral:rRNA from 1 species